rnacentral:rRNA from 1 species
AUUGAACGCUGGCGGCAGGCUUAACACAUGCAAGUCGAGCGAGUGGCGGACGGGUGAGUAAUGUCUGGGAAACUGCCUGAUGGAGGGGGAUAACUACUGGAAACGGUAGCUAAUACCGCAUACCAUCAGCUUUGCCCAGAUGGGAUUAGCUAGUUGGUGGUGUAAUGGCUCACCUAGGCGACGAUCCCUAGCUGGUCUGAGAGGAUGACCAGACACACGGGAACUGAGACACGGUCAAGACUCCGACGGGAGGCAGCAGUGGGGAAUAUUGCACAAUGGGCGCAAGCCUGAUGCAGCCAGGCCGCGUGUAUGAAGAAGGCCUUCGGGUUUUAAAGUACUUUCAGCGGGGAGGCGUUACUCGCAGAAGAAGCACCGGCUAACUCCGUGCCAGCAGCCGCGGUAAUAC